GAAAAAAAUAAAUUCAGGAGUAUGGAAAUUCAAACAAGAAAUGAAGAAUCCUCUCAUCCCCAUUGACGCAGUGCUUCUUGGCAUCAUUUCUUGAUCAGGGUUUUCUUUUUUCUUCACUUCUACGUAGUAUGUCAAGGUAUUUCUUCUUUCUUCAAGAACUGUGGUUUCUGUGUGAAUAUUGUGCUGGAGAGUGUAAUGUAUCUUAUGUUUAUCUGUUUGGUUCGCGGUUUGUAGAGUCUUUAUCGUAUUCUUGGGGCAAUGAAUGUUUGAUUUUUGAAGAUUCCAUUGAUGUAGUACACCAUGAGUGUCUGAGGAUUAAUGGGGUGUGCUUCUAUAAUUGUGUUUUUACAGGUUGCUAAGAAUUUUUUUUUUCUUAUAAAUUGUUUAUACCUGCAAAAUAUAGGAAAAUGGAAGAAAGAGAGGAUUCAUGCUCUUUUAUGAAAAUUCUAUGUUUAUAUUUUGUAGACUCCAUGUGUUUCUUGACCCUUCGUUUAGCUUGCUUGUUUUAGAUAUUUUUUGUAUAGAGGGAAAACUUAGUCAAUUGGUAGAGAUAUAUGUACUCGAUGCACCACUAAAGACCCAUGUUCUUGUGUUUGUUUUUAUGUAUUCUCUAAGUUUCUAUGAUGUGGUUAGUUUUAAUAGGAAGCAAUGAUUUUGGUGUUUCUAACCUUUUCCGACACUCUUUAUGUUACGUUCUGUUGCUAGUGAUGUGUGUCUGUGGUCUUCUUUGAAUAAUUGAGCUAGCAGAUGUAAAAUUAUAAAGGGGAUAAUGGUUGUAGUUAUGUGGACUUAAUUUUGAUCAUUGUGCUUGUUUUCAUGUCAUAUUAGCUGUUUCUGCCUUGCACAUUCAUUUGAAUUAAGUAUCAUGACUAUGUAUGGAAUUUCUUGUUUCGUUCCCUGGUUUGAACUCUCUUGUUUUUGUCUUCACCAUUUAUGUACUCUUUAAAUGUAUGUAUAGUUUCCUUAUCAGUAUUGGUUUACUGUGUAAUAAUGCGUCUAUGGUUGAUGUUAUACAUCUUCACGUACGUAUGCUACUGCAUCAAAUAGAAGAGUUUCUCUUCUCAGACUUGCAGCAGCUGGAUUAAUAAGAUUCCUCUCGGGAUUUACCUUUUACCUUUACUCUUUGUUGAGAUGCUAUUUAAUUGGAAAGGUAGCAUGAGCACUUGAAUAUAGUUCCACACAUUCAUGUCGAGAGAUGAAAAUGAAGUGCAUCGAAACAGAUCUUGCUCCCUGGUAUACCUUUUGGUACGUGUGAUAUGGAUUUCCAUGUCAACUAUUGAUCCCAUGCAUGGGUUUUUCCCAGUUUGUGAGUCUUCUCCAAUUGAGCCCUUUUAUUUUUUUUACCACUUUUUUAUGACUCAAUGGCUAGAAAUUGAUGCAAGAUAGUUUUCAGUUGUCUCCUUUUCGACUGUUAAUUUAUUCUAAAGUUGAUGAAACCAUUUUGAGAUCACAUAAGUGGUACUUUCAACACCAUACAUCCAACAGAAAGCAUGGAUAAUAUAAUACAGUGGUAUGGUUGUUCUGUUUAACUAAAAAUUAUUGAUCAUUGAUAUAGGCCUAAACCCUACUGGGGAAACUAGAAUUAUUGAAUAAUAAAAUACUUUUCUUUCUGGGGAAUAAAAUAUGAAUAUAUGGACUAUAUCGAUCUUUUAAAUGAGAUCCACCAACAUCCACAUUUGGCAUCUAAUAUGGACAGAGUUGACAUUUAAAGAAAUAGAUUACUUUUUCCUUAUGUAAUACAAAUGAUUCAUGGUCUUGUUCCAUAAAUGUUGUUGGUGGUUGUUGAUGCUACACCUGUUAAGGAAAUGAGUACUGAAGUGUCAAUUUCUUUUUGUUAUAGCUGCAUAAUAAACAUGAUAAAAAUGAUUAUAUAAUUUACGGAUCAAGAGAAUUGGAGUAUGGUUAAAUUUGUUCUAAUAUGAGACACAACGAUAACAAAAGCACCAAUAUUAUAAGCCUCGUAUGGCUGAAAGAUUUUGAAUUCUUAAUAAGCUUUGUCAGUUCUUGUAUAUAUCUUUUCCCUCACUUGUAAACUUAAUUUUCUGUUGCUUGUAUUUUGUGCAAAAGAAUAAAAUAUUAAAAGGUAUCAUUUUAAUUGGGUGCUUUUUCUUUUUCAAUUUUUUUGUUAAUUUUCGGAAUAGCGUGGAAGUAUUUUUUGGAUUUUUAAUUUUCAAUUUUUUUGGUGCACGCAAGUAAUAUGAUACCCUUAAUGCCCCCACUUGGGUUACAGGCUCACGCUACUGAGCCCGGCGAACUGUAGUGACAACUAACGUAUCUUAUAAAGUCAUUCACCCUAUUUUGUGUUAUCAAUGUGGGAGAAAGGACAGGGUUUUGCCUUUUCUUCCAAACUUCCUGUUGAUUGCCUUAAGUGAUCAUAUUUUUUAAGGCAUAAUUUCCCAAUUGGUAAAGUCGUAUCGUUGCUAACGAUUUUUCAAAUGAUAAACACUGGAAAAUUGGAGAUCUACGAUGAAUUGGAAGAAAUCAAUUGAAGGAAAAAUGCUAUACCCGAAGGAAUGUGGUGACAAACUUGUAAAAGGCGAAAGCUUAGCGGUAUCGUGUAGUAGUUGGUAGAACAUGAAGAGAACCAAUAUAACAUUCAUCAUGAAGUUUCGCUGUUAUCAUGUUUGUUGAUGGCUAUCAGAUUUGACUUUUUAGUAACUGUUCUUGAGAUAAAUUACUCGUAGGACUAUGGUUUGAUGUUAAAACUACUGACUUCUAUAAAAUUUCUUUAUAUGUUUGCAUAAGUAACUGCAGAAUAUUGAAAGAAUUAAGGGGAAAUCAACUGAAAAGAGGCACGGACUGUAUAGGAAGACUUUGGCGAGUAAUUCACUGUAAAGAGUGUAUAUAACCAAUGUACUGGAAGUUCUUCUAUAGUGAUCAUUGAAAGCAGAGGAGAGCUGUACCCUCUAUAUUAAAUCAGUGACUGCUCCAAAAUAACAUGGAACCGCAUAAAGAAGGUGGUUCUUAGUAAUAUCAGCAGGCUUACUUCUAUGGGAUGGCGGUGUAUCUCAAAUGUAACAUGCUCUGAUGAUUGACUUUAAACAUGGACUAGAGACUUCGUAUGUGAGUUAGGAUUGCUUUCUCUCAACACGGAUACAGUGGUUGAUGGACCGGAAUAUUGAACUUCAGUGUUCUCAAUAAUCAGGGUUGUUCUCUCUCUUGCCAAAUCUUAAGGCCACAUGAACUUUACUUUAAGUAAACUGCCAGCGAUCUUCACCUUAUAUUUCUGCUAAUGAAAGCAUAGGAAGUUCUCGCCUUCUUAUCUCUAUUCUAUUUUUGGCUCUAUUGUAAACAGUAGUAAUUCAUUACAACUUAUUUCCGUUCUAUAACUAUCGCUCCGUUAAGAAAUGCAGCUUCCGAGAACCAGUACUGAAGGACUACCGUAAUUGCUAGAGUUAAUGUUCUUGAAUCCACUGGCCAGUUCGGGAGAGAUUCUUGCUUUGCUACCAAGCAUGUGAACAGAAGAAUCAAGGACAAUGACGUAGGAGAAACUGUUGGAAAUUCUUGAACCACUAUUUUGCUAAGGAACCUGGGUAUGGAUCGUCGGAAAUGUGAUGAGGUAAAGAGCCAAAACGCAUGAAGCAAAAACCAAGAGCUCCCCAAGGCGUUUGUUGAAAGAGAGGGGUGAUGCAGCACCAGUGUAUACCAUGCCACCUGGGUUGGUAACUGGUGGAGAGUUGAUGCCUGGGGCUGAUGAAUUCCUUCCCGAAGGAGUUGAUGGAGUCGUGUUGUUGCCAGACGCGGUGACCUUGAUUUCAACCUUUUGCUUGUUAUACAGACACCUGUUGGGGAAGCUGCAGAUGUAGUAGAAGCUGCCAGGAAUGGUAUACUCAAGCUCAUCGUCCCCACUGUUGAAAAUCUCAACUGGAUCAUCUGAGUUGCAUUUUUCGUAAUUUUCUUGGGUCACUCGAAUCACAUCGUUGCUUUCAUUGUCAUAGGUGAAUACUGCAUUAUGUAUAAAAAGAGUUUUAAGUUCUUGAGCAGUCAUGCUGGAAUUGU